AGCGGGGUAGAGUAGUUGGUUAACUCAUCAGGCUCAUAAUCUGAAGAUUGCAGGUUCGAAUCCUGCCCCCGCCACCA
rnacentral:tRNA from 1 species